rnacentral:rRNA from 1 species
UCAGGAUGAACGCUAGCUACAGGCUUAACACAUGCAAGUCGAGGGGCAGCAUAUUGGUAGCUUGCUACUAAUGAUGGCGACCGGCGCACGGGUGAGUAACGCGCAUCCAACCUUCCCUAUACUAGAGGAUAGCCCGGCGAAAGUCGGAUUAAUACUCUAUGUUAUUCAAUGCGGACAUCUAAGUUGAAUCAAAGAUUUAUCGGUAUAGGAUGGGGAUGCGUCUGAUUAGGUUGUUGGCGGGGUAACGGCCCACCAAGCCCACGAUCAGUAGGGGUUCUGAGAGGAAGGCCCCCCACAUUGGAACUGAGACACGGUCCAAACUCCUACGGGAGGCAGCAGUGAGGAAUAUUGGUCAAUGGACGAGAGUCUGAACCAGCCAAGUAGCCGUGCAGGAUGACGGCCUUAUGGGUUGUAAACUGCUUUUAUACAGGGAUAAAGUGAGCCACGUGUGGUUUUUUGUAGGUACUGUAUGAAUAAGGACCGGCUAAUUCCGUGCCAGCCGCCGC